rnacentral:tRNA from 1 species
GCGGGUGUAGUACAACGGUCAGUAUGCGAUCUUGCCAAGAUCGAAACGGGAGUUCGACUCUCCUCACCCGCU